AGAGUUUGAUCCUGGCUCAGGAUGAACGCUGGCGGCGUGCUUAAUACAUGCAAGUCGAACGGGGAGAAUUACUUCGGUUUUUCUUCUAGUGGCGAACGGGUGAGUAACGCGUUGGUGACCUGCCCCAAAGUGUGGGAUAACAGACCGAAAGGUUUGCUAAUACCGCAUGUGAUCAUAAGGAUUAGAGGCCUAAUGAUUAAAGGAGAAAUCCGCUUUGGGAGGGACCUGCGUCCCAUCAGCUAGUUGGUAGGGCAAUGGCCUACCAAGGCUACGACGGGUAGGGGGCCUGAGAGGGUGGCCCCCCACACUGGUACUGAAACACGGACCAGACACCUACGGGUGGCAGCAGUAGGGAAUAUUGCCCAAUGAGCGAAAGCUUGAGGCAGCAACGCCGCGUGCGGGAUGACGGCCUUCGGGUUGUAAACCGCUUUUCUGAGGGAAGAGUAAGGACGGUACCUCAGGAAUAAGCCUCGGCUAACUACGUGCCAGCAGCCGCGGUAAUACGUAGGAGGCAAGCGUUAUCCGGAUUUACUGGGCGUAAAGCGUGUGUAGGUGGUAUGGCAAGUUGGAUGUGAAAGCUCCUGGCUUAACUGGGAGAGGUCGUUCAAAACUGCCAAACUAGAGGACAGUAGAGGAAGGUGGAAUUCUCGGUGUAGUGGUGAAAUGCGUAGAUAUCGAGAGGAACACCAGUGGCGAAGGCGGCCUUCUGGCCUGUACCUGACACUAAGACACGAAAGCGUGGGUAGCAAACGGGAUUAGAAACCCCGGUAGUCCACGCUGUAAACGAUGCAGACUUGGUGUUGGUGGUGUAAAAACCAUCAGUGCCGUAGCUAACGCGAUAAGUCUGCCGCCUGGGGAUUACGGCCGCAAGGUUAAAACUCAAAGGAAUUGACGGGUUCCCGCACAAGCAGCGGAGCGUGUGGUUUAAUUCGAGGCUACGCGAAGAACCUUACCUGGGUUUGACAUACUGAUGGUAGAGAAGCGAAAGUGGAUCGACCCUUCGGGGAGUCAGUACAGGUGCUGCAUGGCUGUCGUCAGUUCGUGCCGUGAGGUGUCCGGUUAAGUCCGGUAACGAACGCAACCCUCGUCAUAUGUUACAAGUGUCAUACGAGACUGCCGGUAUAAAGCCGGAGGAAGGUGGGGAUGACGUCAAGUCAGCAUGGCCUUUAUAUCCAGGGCUACACACACGCUACAAUGGCCGGUACAAUGGGUCGCAAAGCCGCAAGGUGGAGCCAAUCCUCAAAACCGGUCUCAGUUCGGAUUGCAGGCUGCAACUCGCCUGCAUGAAGCCGGAGUUGCUAGUAAAUGCGCGUCAGCAACAGUGCAUUGAAUACGUUCCCGGGAAUUGUACACACCGCCCGUCACGUCAUGGGAGUUGGUAACGCCUGAAGUUGGUAGCUUAACCCUCACGGGAAAGCGCCACCUAGGGUGGGACUGGUGACUAGGACGAAGUCGUAACAAGGUA
rnacentral:rRNA from 1 species